UACGGAAGGCAGCAGUGGGGAAUAUUGCACAAUGGGCGCAAGCCUGAUGCAGCCAUGCCGCGUGUAUGAAAAAGGCCUUCGGGUUGUAAAGUACUUUCAGUCGUGAGGAAGGUGUUAAGGUUAAUAACCUUAGCAAUUGACGUUAGCGACAGAAGAAGCACCGGCUAACUCCGUGCCAGCAGCCGCGGUAAUACGGAGGGUGCGAGCGUUAAUCGGAAUUACUGGGCGUAAAGGGCACGCAGGCGGUUAAUUAAGUUGGAUGUGAAAUCCCCGGGCUUAACCUGGGAAUGGCAUUCAAGCUGGUUAGCUAGAGUCUUGUAGAGGGGGGUAGAAUUCCAUGUGUAGCGGUGAAAUGCGUAGAGAUGUGGAGGGAAUACCGGUGGCGAAGGCGGCCCCUGGACAAAGACUGACGCUCAUGUGCGAAAGCGUGGGGAGCAAAACAGGGA
rnacentral:rRNA from 1 species